AGCCGGUGAUUUUGAGACGCUUGUGAUUGGUCGAGGGCCGCAUGGUGGAGCCGCGGAUUGGUCAAGGGUUUGCUAGUGCCUCUGGGGUUGUUUCUAGAGCGGGGCUUGAGGGGCACGGGCGCGCACUCCACCCUGUCCGAAAACGCUGCUGUGCUGGUAAAGUUUUAACUGGUAACGUAAUCAUCUAUGGUCGUUAUGUUGGCCUGGCUCGAGUGGUUGUUGAGGUGAGAGUUCUGCCAUAGUUUACUGGUGUCUGGGGGAGUGACAUGAGGAAUCGAAGGAUGAACUUAACCCCUUGACUGCGGAUUUCCUAUAGAAGACAUCACCAAGCUACAGUAGUGGAGCAAAAAGUGGCUGCUACAAUUCAAUGAAGAAAAAUGUGAAGUCCUGCACCUUGGGAGGGGAUAUCCAGCACACCAAUACCACAUGGGAAACACUCCACUAUCCACCACAGAGCCAGAGAAAGACCUGGGAGCAUAUGUUACCAGGUUACCAGUGAAGGCGAAAUCCGUGCCAAUCGCAGCGGACGGGUUAAGGAAUCACCAAUGCAUGAACGCUGUCAGAACCACAAUGUCAGAACGAGCCCAGGUCCCCGCAGCCCCUCCAGAGUUCAAACCCAUGCACGCGAUCAUGACUCGGCCCACUCAACCUCAAGUCGUCACCUCCUCCGCCCGUCAACCCCGCACGCAAGCCCCCGUGGCCUACUGAUCCUAUCGCUGGCCGCCCCCUCCCCGCCGCGUGGCUUGACCCUCCCGCCAGGUGAACGCCGCGACCCGAGGCUACAGAGUCAGACAGGUGGCGAGGACCAGGUGUCGGGAUCACUGUAUCGGGGGUCACUUCGCUGCAUGUAUACCGGGUAGUGGGCAGUGUGGACAACCCCGUUAUUAUCACCGCAGACUUGAGAUGGAGCUUCAGCCAAUCCGGAGCCUCGGGAGUGAAUCGGCCACCCAGACGUUGACUCCCGAGCGACGUGUGUCUCCGUGGAACAGCUGGUGACCCUGACGGAGCGGGAACACGGCCACGGAGCACCUGAGCUUGAGUAUACAGCCAUGCGGGAUAAGAGAGGCGGUAUGUGGUUGCUUACGGAUCCUGGCGGCGGCACUUUUCACGGCCCGGCUGAGAGCGAGCGAGGAGGCCGCGCACGAGGCUUCAGAGCGACGCGACGGGAGUGUGCGGUACAACUCCCUGACGGCCGUGGACUGGCGUGUGGCGACUGGCGAGGCGCUGAACCACCACCACCACCACCACUGCCCUGUGACCCGCCCACCACCACCCCCACUGGCCUGCCCUUUAUUCAAUCUCUCCUGUGAAGGACUCGCUGCCACAGGAUUCUUCCUUGGGCUUCGUAGUAGUUUUCUCCUGAAGAAGUUGUCAGUGGUGCUGAGCGUUGCUGCUCUCUCCCGAAUGGAUUCCCUUUUUUGUCCUGAAAAUAUUAA